rnacentral:rRNA from 1 species
AAUAGAUACCCUGGUAGUCCACGCCGUAAACGAUGAGUGCUAAGUGUUAGAGGGUUUCCGCCCUUUAGUGCUGCAGCUAACGCAUUAAGCACUCCGCCUGGGGAGUACGGCCGCAAGGCUGAAACUCAAAGGAAUUGACGGGGGCCCGCACAAGCGGUGGAGCAUGUGGUUUAAUUCGAAGCAACGCGAAGAACCUUACCAGGUCUUGACAUCCUCUGACACUCCUAGAGAUAGGACGUUCCCCUUCGGGGGACAGAGUGACAGGUGGUGCAUGGUUGUCGUCAGCUCGUGUCGUGAGAUGUUGGGUUAAGUCCCGCAACGAGCGCAACCCUUGAUCUUAGUUGCCAGCAUUCAGUUGGGCACUCUAAGGUGACUGCCGGUGACAAACCGGAGGAAGGUGGGGAUGACGUCAAAUCAUCAUGCCCCUUAUGACCUGGGCUACACACGUGCUACAAUGGAUGGUACAAAGGGCUGCGAGACCGCAAGGUUUAGCCAAUCCCAUAAAACCGAUUCUCAGUUCGGAUUGC